CCGCCGCCGCCGCCGCCGCCGCCGCCCGGCUCCGAGGGAUCCCGCCGGACCUGCCCCUUCCACUGCGGCUCACUCUCUGCCCUGCCUGGCGCCAGUCCUGGAUCGCCGGCUUCCUAUUUAUACCACACUGGGCUCCUCUCGACUCACUUUACCAUCCCGUUCCAGGCUGGCGACUUCGCUGCUGAGCUGAAACUGCUAAUUUCUGUGACCAGCUUUUUUCUUAGCUGUGAUCUGGAUGAAUGAGUAGCUGUCUCACAGAGAUGACAAAAAUAAACUCUAAUCCCCCCCAAAAUUUCCACUA